UUCACACAGGGAAACUUAGAGUUUGAUCAUGGCUCAGAACGAACGCUGGCGGCAUGCCUAACACAUGCAAGUCGAACGAAGCCUUCGGGCUUAGUGGCGCACGGGUGCGUAACGCGUGGGAAUCUGCCCUUAGGUACGGAAUAACUCAGGGAAACUUGAGCUAAUACCGUAUAAUGACUCCGGUCCAAAGAUUUAUCGCCUGAGGAUGAGCCCGCGUCGGAUUAGCUAGUUGGUGAGGUAAAAGCUCACCAAGGCGACGAUCCGUAGCUGGUCUGAGAGGAUGAUCAGCCACACUGGGACUGAGACACGGCCCAGACUCCUACGGGAGGCAGCAGUGGGGAAUAUUGGACAAUGGGCGAAAGCCUGAUCCAGCAAUGCCGCGUGAGUGAUGAAGGCCUUAGGGUUGUAAAGCUCUUUUACCCGGGACGAUAAUGACAGUACCGGGAGAAUAAGCCCCGGCUAACUCCGUGCCAGCAGCCGCGGUACGCC
rnacentral:rRNA from 1 species